rnacentral:rRNA from 1 species
GAUGAACGCUGGCGGCGUGCCUAAUACAUGCAAGUCGAGCGAACAGACGAGGAGCUUGCUCCUCUGACGUUAGCGGCGGACGGGUGAGUAACACGUGGAUAACCUACCUAUAAGACUGGGAUAACUUCGGGAAACCGGAGCUAAUACCGGAUAAUAUAUUGAACCGCAUGGUUCAAUAGUGAAAGACGGUUUUGCUGUCACUUAUAGAUGGAUCCGCGCCGCAUUAGCUAGUUGGUAAGGUAACGGCUUACCAAGGCAACGAUGCGUAGCCGACCUGAGAGGGUGAUCGGCCACACUGGAACUGAGCCACGGUCCAGACUCCUACGGGAGGCAGCAGUAGGGAAUCUUCCGCAAUGGGCGAAAGCCUGACGAAGCAACGCCGCGUGAGUGAUGAAGGUCUUCGGAUCGUAAAACUCUGUUAUUAGGGAAGAACAAAUGUGUAAGUAACUAUGCACGUCUUGACGGUACCUAAUCAGAAAGCCACGGCUAACUACGUG